rnacentral:rRNA from 1 species
GAGUGGAGAAGGUUUUCGGAUCGUAAAGCUCUGUUGUAAGUCAAGAACGUGUGUGAGAGUGGAAAGUUCACACAGUGACGGUAGCUUACCAGAAAGGGACGGCUAACUACGUGCCAGCAGCCGCGGUAAUACGUAGGUCCCGAGCGUUGUCCGGAUUUAUUGGGCGUAAAGGGAGCGCAGGCGGUCAGGAAAGUCUGGAGUAAAAGGCUAUGGCUCAACCAUAGUGUGCUCUGGAAACUGUCUGACUUGAGUGCAGAAGGGGAGAGUGGAAUUCCAUGUGUAGCGGUGAAAUGCGUAGAUAUAUGGAGGAACACCAGUGGCGAAAGCGGCUCUCUGGUCUGUCACUGACGCUGAGGCUCGAAAGCGUGGGUAGCGAACAGGAUUAGAUACCCUGGUAGUCCACGCCGUAAACGAUGAGUGCUAGGUGUUAGGCCCUUUCCGGGGCUUAGUGCCGGAGCUAACGCAAUAAGCACUCCGCCUGGGGAGUACGACCGCAAGGUUGAAACUCAAAGGAAUUGACGGGGGCCCGCACAAGCGGUGGAGCAUGUGGUUUAAUUCGAAGCAACGCGAAGAACCUUACCAGGUCUUGACAUCCCGAUGCUAUUCUUAGAGAUAGGAAGUUACUUCGGUACACCGGAGACAGGUGGUGCAUGGUGGUCGUCAGCUCGUG